CCUAUGAAGCUUUACUGUAACUUGAAAUUGGUUUCGGGUUUUAUUUGCGCAGCAUAGGUGGGAGGCCUUGAUGUUAGUCUUAUGGGAUUAAUGGAGCCAUCAGUGAGAUACCACUCUAAUAAAACUAGAACUCUAACCCUAUACCGUUAGCCGGUUAGGGGACAGUUUCAGGCGGGCAGUUUGACUGGGGCGGUCGCCUCCUAAAAGGUAACGGAGGCGUACAAAGGUUUCCUCAGAUCGGUCAGAAAUCGAUCGUAGAGUGCAAAGGCAAAAGGAAGCUUGACUGUGAGACCUACAAGUCGAACAGAGACGAAAGUCGGUCUUAGUGAUCUGGCGAUAUUGAGUGGAAAAGUCGUCACUCAACGGAUAAAAGUUACUCUAGGG
rnacentral:rRNA from 1 species